CACUGCCAAGUGGCUGCUCACGGAUCUGGAAUUGAAUAUAUCCCAAUAUCCCACUGCUGGAUCUCGAUAUCCCACUGCUGGAUCUGGGACAUGGAAAUUUGGGGAAAAGCAGCCCUGGAACGGAAUAUAUUCCAAUAUCCCACUGCUGGAUCCCAAUAUCCCACUGCUGGAUCUGGGACAUGGAAAUUUGGGGAAAAGCAGCCCUGGAAUGGAAUAUAUCCCACUGCCAAGUGGCUGCUCACGGAUCUGGAAUUGAAUAUAUCCCAAUAUCCCACUGCUGGAUCUCGAUAUCCCACUGCUGGAUCUGGGACAUGGAAAUUUGGGGAAAAGCAGCCCUGGAACGGAAUAUAUUCCAAUAUCCCACUGCUGGAUCCCAAUAUCCCACUGCUAGAUCUGGGACAUGGAAAUUUGGGGAAAAGCAGCCCUGGAAUGGAAUAUAUCCCAAUAAUCCACGGCCAAAUGGCUGGUCCUGGACCUGGAAUUGAAUAUAUCCCAAUAUCCCACUGCUGGAUCUCAAUAUCCCACUGCUGGAUCUGGGACAUGGAAAUUUCGGGAAAAGCAGCCCUGGAAUGGAAUAUAUCCCAAUAACCCACUGCCAAAUGGCUGCUCCUGGACCUGGAAUUGAAUAUAUCCCAAUAUCUCACUGCCAAAUGGCUGCUCCUGGAUCUGGGACAUGGAAAUUUCGGGAAAAGCAGCCCUGGAAUGGAAUAUAUCCCAAUAUCCCACUGCUGGAUCCCAAUAUUCCACUCCUGGAUCUAGCACAUGGAAAUUUGGGGAAAUUGAAUAUAUCCCAAUAUCCCACUGCCAAAUGGCUGCUCCUGGAUCUGGAAUUGAAUAUAUCCCAAUAUCCCACUGCUGGAUCUGGGACAUGGAAAUUGGGAGAAAAGCAACCCUGGAAUGGAAUAUAUCCCAAUAACCCACUGCCAAAUGGCUGCUCAUGGCCCUGGAAUUGAAUAUAUCCCAAUACCCCACUGCUGGAUCCCAAUAUCCCAGUCCUGGAUCUGGCACAUGGAAAUUUGGAGAAAUUGAAUAUAUCCCAAUAUCCCACUGCCAAAUGGCUGCUCCUGGGCCUGGGACAUGGAAAUUUGGGGAGCAGGGACCUCGGGGAAGAGGUGCAGGGGAAGAGCCAAGAGGGUUAAACAAGAAAAUCGCUGUACAACUCGGCCAUGUCCAAAGUCAGUAUUAUUACAAUAUACUCUGACAAAAAUAUAAUCUCAUUUCAUAUCAAUACAACAAAAAAAAAAAAAACAAAAACAAAAAAACAAAAAAAAACCCCAAACCAGUUUUCUGUACUGUUACCAUUGCUAACAGAUUGAAACUUGCUAUUUACAGUUACAGUAGCCAGGUAAAAUACUACAGGUGAAAGACCAGAGAGAGGAGGGGCAGAGGGAGAGAAGGGAGAAAAAAUCACCAGGGAAAGGGGAAAAUAAAGGGGGAAAGGCCCUCUUACAUCCCAAAUGUGGCUUCCUGCUUUGGACAAGAAAGGGUGGUGGAUGGAGGUAGUGAAAACAUAAUACUUGGUUUGUGGGUCUGGUUGGGUUCUUUUGUGGAAAGGAAAAGAGAAAAAAAAAGAAAAAAAAAAGAAAAAAAAAGAAAAAAAAAAAAAAAGAGAGAAAGGUGAAGUGAGAGGGCAAGGUGGAAUAAAGGAUGAACAUGGGAAAGGGAAACCAGAGCAAACCUUCAGCUGAAGCCCACUGUUAGACACAGCCCAGGAGAAGUGGAUGGGGAUGAAUUUUCACCACUUUGGGUGGUGAAAAUCUCCCAAACAUCCCCAAAUUGUGCCCCUAGCUGGAGGGAUGGGAGGCAGGAUGUGGCAGAGCUGAGGAGGGGCUGGGAAAUGCUCCUUCCCCAGCUGAUGGAUGCUCUCCCCUCUCCCCAGGAGGGCAGAGGGGACCCCCAGAGCACCAAGUGCCCCUCGGCCCAGCCAAGCCUUGUCCCCAGAGCUGGUGACAAACACCCCAAUAUCCCAAUUCACACCCAAAGUGAGGGGGGGAACCCCCCAGCCAAGCAACACAAGGGGAGGAAAAAGUGUAGGAAGUGAAAUUUUCAAGGAAAAGGUGGGGAUGUUUUUUUGUGAAUUUGCUUUUUCCUUGGUUCGCCGAAAUUAUUCUGGAGAGGAAGAGGGAAGUGAAAAGGGGGAAGGAAAAGGAAAUAUUUUCUUUCUCUUUGCCCCACUUUCCCCCAGGCCCAUCACCACCAGCUCUGGAUUUAACACUUCCACUGCCCCCAGACCCCAACCUGGCAGUGGCCUCAGACACCCCACAGCAACAAACUCCUCCACAAGGGACCCCCAGAGUGUCCCUGCCACACCCACAGCCCCCAUGGGGGCUCAGGUGCCCCUGACACCCCCACAGCCACUGCCAGCCUGCCCCAGCACCGAGCUCUUCAUUCAAACACCCUGCACAGCCAGGCUCUGUCCCUGUCCCUGCACAGCCAGGCUCUCUGCUACCACCAAACAACCCCCUGAGCAGGGGUCACCCUGUGCACAUGCUGACCACCUGAUUCCAGCUGACCACUCCAUCACAGCUGACCAUCCAACCCCAGCUGAUUCCAGCUGACCAUCCCAUCCCAGCUGACCACUCAACCCCAGCUGACCAUCCAACUCCAGCUGACCAUCCACAACUCCAGCUGAUUCCAGCUGACCACCCAACUCCAAUUGACCAUCCAACUCCAGCUGACCAUCCAAACCCAGCUGAUUCCA